UCCGGUAUGGUGUAGUGGCUAACAUUCCGCGCCCUUAUAACCUAAGGGAAUGGUACCGCGGCGACCGAGGUUCGAUUCCUUGUACCGGGG